UCCGCCCGCUCCGUGUGUCCGUCGCGCGGAUGUCCGCUCGUCAAUGCUUCGCUCCGCGCAAGUUGCGCAACUGCUCCUCUCCGCGCAACCGCUCCCCGGCCCGCCGGCCGUCGCACGUUUGCCCCCGGAUCCACCUCCUGCACAUCCACGCGCUCGCACCGCCGCACGCGUGCUCGACGGCGCGACCCGGCCGCCACCGCAUGCUCACCCCACCUCCACCUCCACCUCCACCUCCUACACAUCCACAAGGACCGGUCCCCACAUCUGUUGCUCCAGCCAUGCUCGUGCUGGACUGGUGGGUUUUCUCCUCUCACGCGAGUUCCGGCCACGGAGGCAGGAGCGCGGGGUCGGAGCAGGAGGGACGCGGCGCGGUGGCGGAGGUUGGGAUGGGGAUCUGCGCGGUGGAGGAGAUGGGUCUCCGCCGGCUCGAUCCAUCGAUCCGCCCGUAGCUCGGGCCUCAUCGGAGGGUGGGAUAGGGAGGAUCUGCGCAGAGGAGGGGGAAGACCGGGGUGCGGCGGCCUUGGGCAGAGAGGACGGCGGCGAAGUUCAGAGGUCGAUUUGCGCCACCGCGGCUGUUGACCGCGUGAUUCCGGCCGCCUCGCGUGCUGUGCAGCACUGCCGCUGCCUCGCCUCUCAGUCAUCGCACAGCAGCUUCGCCAUCAUCGGUCGUCGAACAGAGCGCCGCAGCCAGAGUUCCGCCCUCCCCGUCGCCUGUCGUCCGUCGGAGCGCCGCCGCCGUGAGGGUCCCUAACCAGCCGCCGUCGGCCGGAUUCCAGCCGUCCCUGUUCUUCUCUGCCGCCGGUGAGCACCCCCGUGAGUUUCCCCUCAUCCUCCUCUUCCUUUCCCCGACCCGGAUUGAAUCCCUUGCACCCCGCCCCCGCAAUGCUGGUUGGCUGGCUAGCCAGAGCUGCUAGGAGCCAUGGCCAGGAGCUCUUUGAGCUUUUGCACAAGGGCCCCUGCGGAAUCUGGUAACUCUUCAGCUUUUUCUUGUGGCUUGCGAGCUUUGCAGAAACGCAGCCGCCUCCCACUCCAGCAUUCCAGGUGAUCCUGUUCUAAUCCACCAAUUUUCCAUUCGCAUCUCAUUCAUCCCAUGAACACCAGGUGCUUGUGUUUUGGUCCAAACUAAUUUCUCUAGAUUUUGGCCUAGGUAUAAAUGAGCGAUCUUUUUUGUCCAUUACUUCCAUGCUUCUGAACCUUGAGGGGCACUCGUUCAUUGGUUGAUGGACCUACAUAUAGAUGAAUGGAACUUUGGAGGAUUGUCUGUUAGUAAGUGUUAUGAAUGAAGUCCAUUCUGAAAUCAAAUUCUCUUCCUGGGUGUCAAUAUGUGUAUGAGUGGAUAUAACUAUAUUUGAAACUGGAGAAUCUGAUGAUCGUUGGUAUGCAUAUAAGUGAAUAUGGCUUGCCUAAGCAGUAUGAAUGAAAAAUUUUAUAGUUGCAUUGUUAAUUGCAACUAUAAACUGAGAUAGUAGAUAAGUCGGGUCAUACUACAUGACCGACUUGAAUCCUUAUUUGAGCAAUUUUUCUUGAUCCAUAUGUUAGUUUUAUAUUGUGGACCUCUCUUUAAUUGAGUGAUAUGAUUAGCUUAGCAGCUUGAGAAAGACUUGAACGGUUCAGCCACAUAAUCAAUUGCGGCUGACAAAAAAACCUUGGCAUUUUUGAUAAAAUAUUUUCUGCAUGCCAUGAUGAUCAGAGCUGCAUCCGCAAUGACCUACUACGAAACUUUUUUUGUCUUACUGGUCAUAUUUUGUAUUUUAUACUAGAGAUAUGAUAUACAAUGCUUACUGUUCUUUAACUAAUAAAUUCCAAAUGUAGGCUUCUGCUGGCAAUGCUGAGAAUAUUUGAGAUGAUUUGAAUGGUCUUGACAAGGCUGUUAGUGCUGUUUUAGGAUUGAGGACUAUAGAAUGUAACCAGUUACUUGUUAGCAUUGAAAAGUAAAUUUACAAAGCAUCGAGAUGAGACAAAUGAGAGAAUCACAAAGCCAGAAGAACUUGUUUGGCUAUAUGAUCUGCUUAUUCAGAUGUGCCUUCUUGGCGAAGUCAUAUAGUUCUGCUGGCAAAAGGGCAGAAGCAUAUGCAUUAUUUUGUCAUGCCCGAACUCUCACUGAUUUCACAAUGCAGCAGCUUGCAAACAGUCCGGACAAGCUUUAAUCCAAGAUCUAGAGUCAUUGCCCGACAAUUGUAGUUCCAAUAGCUGCAUAGAACAUGCGACUGGUAUUAUGGAGGAUGGUAGUGUUCCUUUAGAACUUUAAAAAGGAGCCUCAAACUAUUUCACUUGAUCAUAAAACAAAGGUUGUGUAUUAUUUUUGAACAUUGAUUGAAAUAGCAUGGAGUGUUUGGUAUUAA